AUCUUUACUUUACAAACUUAUCAAAAGACCCCUAAAAUAUCAAAAUUCCUUUUGUCGCUUCCGACCGUCGUCAUUGGACUUUGUGUGAAGCUGCACCGUCUCCGGCCAUCUCUCCAGGAGUUAACGGCAGGUUUGAUAUUUUAGUGGCCUGAUUGAAUGCUCUUCUGCAAAAGUAUCAAAAAGAUAACACAAGUCAUUCUACUAUAUUAAGUAGAAGGACCAAGGGAAGUAUUUUUCUUUCAUUAAUUCUUGCAAUAAGUAUAACUGUAGCGCCAAGAGCCCAAGCCCAAUAGUCAAAUGUUUAUUUUGUUUCUCUUUCAGAUGUUAAUGCUUUCAUUGUCAUGGUCACGGAUGAAAUUCUAGAUGAAACCUUUAGUAUGGCAUUGAUAUGUCCAUGUUGUUGCAUCCAAACUAACUGAAUUAAAGUGAUUUGGAAAACUAUCCUACUCCUGCUCUAAAACUACAUGACUGCCUGCUUGCCUGAAGUGUAAUCGAGGAAUCCCGAACCCCACCUUCCCACCAAUAAUGUUACCCCCACAUUAGUGAAUCUUUUUUGCUCACUUGGAGUAUAUCUACAUGCCCUUAGUGGCCUUUUUUCAUAUUUAUCGACAUUUGUAUGCUAAAAGGUUUUGUAAGCAUAUGUAAGAAAUACAUCUGCCAAGUAUAUGUAAGUGGAGCAGUCCACUAGACAGAACUGAAGAAGUUGAUUCCCCCUUCAACAAUGAAAUGGAUCCCUUCCAAAAGCACGGGUGGUUUAUGUAGACACAAGGGUGGAGCUGGCUAGUAGGAUUCCCCCCAAUUCUCCAUACCCAGAGCUAGUAUAUUUUAGAGAAGGAAUCACCAACCACCACAAAAUCCUGUAGUAAUUCAGAAUUUUUCUUUAGCUUUACUAAUUAUAUUGAAACUUAAUGGAAACGUAUUUCUCUUGGCCCGUUGGUAUCAGUAACUCCUCAUGACUUUGUGGUCAUGUGUAUAAGCCUCAUCGUUGACAUUAGUUGUAAUAAUUAAGCACUUUAGUAGUA